UGCAGACCUAUAUAUAUAUAUAUCCCUG
rnacentral:piRNA from 1 species